UACGUAGGGUGCGAGCGUUAAUCGGAAUUACUGGGCGUAAAGCGUGCGCAGGCGGUUUUGUAAGUCAGAUGUGAAAUCCCCGGGCUCAACCUGGGAAUGGCAUUUGGGACUGCAAGGCUGGAGUGCGGCAGAGGAGACUGGAAUCCUGGUGUAGCAGUGAAAUGCGUAGAUAUCAGGAGGAAUACCGAUGGCGAAGGCAGGUCUCUGGGCUGACACUGACGCUCAUGCACGAAAGCGUGGGAGCGAA
rnacentral:rRNA from 1 species